rnacentral:rRNA from 1 species
GCGUCGAGCGGCGGACGGGUGAGUAAUGCCUAGGGAAUAUGCCUUAUGUGGGGGACAACCAGUUGGAAACGAUUGCUAAUACCGCAUGAUGUCUACGGACCAAAGUGGGGACCUUCGGGCCUCACGCCAUAAGAUUGCCCAAGUGGGAUUAGCUAGUUGUGAGGUAAUGCUCACCAAGGCGACGAUCCCUAGCUGGUUGAGAGGAUGAUCAGCCACACUGGGACUGAGACACGGCCCAGACUCCUACGGGAGCAGCAGUGGGGAAUAUUGCACAAUGGGCGCAAGCCUGAUGCAGCCAUGCCGCGUGUGUGAAGAAGGCCUUCGGGUUGUAAAGCACUUUCAGUAAGGAGGAAAGGUUAAGUGUUAAUAGCACUUAGCUGUGACGUUACUUACAGAAGAAGCACCGGCUAACUCCGUGCCAGCAGCCGCGGUAAUACGGAGGGUGCGAGCGUUAAUCGGAAUUACUGGGCGUAAAGCGUACGCAGGCGGUUUGUUAAGCGAGAUGUGAAAGCCCCGGGCUCAACCUGGGAACUGCAUUUCGAACUGGCAAACUAGAGUGUGAUAGAGGGUGGUAGAAUUUCAGGUGUAGCGGUGAAAUGCGUAGAGAUCUGAAGGAAUACCGAUGGCGAAGGCAGCCACCUGGGUCAACACUGACGUUCAUGUACGAAAGCGUGGGGAGCAAACAGGAUUAGAUACCCCUGGUAGUCCCACGCCGUAAACGAUGUUACUAGAAGCUGGGGCCUUGGGACGUGUUUUUCAGAAGCUAACGCAUUAAGUAGACCGCCUGGGGAGUA